rnacentral:rRNA from 1 species
AUUGAACGCUGGCGGCAGGCCUAACACAUGCAAGUCGAGCGGAAACGAAGAGGUGCUUGCACCUCUGGCGUCGAGCGGCGGACGGGUGAGUAAUGCUUGGGAAUAUGCCUUAUGGUGGGGGACAACAGUUGGAAACGACUGCUAAUACCGCAUGAUGUCUACGGACCAAAGUGGGGGACCUUCGGGCCUCACGCCAUAAGAUUAGCCCAAGUGGGAUUAGCUAGUUGGUGAGGUAAUGGCUCACCAAGGCGACGAUCCCUAGCUGGUUUGAGAGGAUGAUCAGCCACACCGGGACUGAGACACGGCCCAGACUCCUACGGGAGGCAGCAGUGGGGAAUAUUGCACAAUGGGCGCAAGCCUGAUGCAGCCAUGCCGCGUGUGUGAAGAAGGCCUUCGGGUUGUAAAGCACUUUCAGUAAGGAGGAAAGGUUAAGUGUUAAUAGCACUUAGCUGUGACGUUACUUACAGAAGAAGCACCGGCUAACUCCGUGCCAGCAGCCGCGGUAAUACGGAGGGUGCGAGCGUUAAUCGGAAUUACUGGGCGUAAAGCGUACGCAGGCGGUUUGUUAAGCGAGAUGUGAAAGCCCUGGGCUCAACCUGGGAACUGCAUUUCGAACUGGCAAACUAGAGUGUGAUAGAGGGUGGUAGAAUUUCAGGUGUAGCGGUGAAAUGCGUAGAGAUCUGAAGGAAUACCGAUGGCGAAGGCAGCCACCUGGGUCAACACUGACGCUCAUGUACGAAAGCGUGGGGAGCAAACAGG